UGGUGUUUUAUCAUACUCAAGCACGUCAAUACCUUGGCACAUAAAAUUUAUCAACUAAAAUGGCUGCAAAUAAGGCAUUGGUGAUUAUUCUUCUCUUCACUCUCAUUGCAGUUGUCUGUUCUAAAGCAGUAGCCGUUCCAAACAAAGCGGAAAGAAUAUGUAUUGAUUUACCAUCGGUUCAUUCCUUCCUUAACUACGUCUAUUUGGGACUUGUUGGUGUAUUGUUUUGCCCAGCAUAAUUCAAAAAUCACACGAGAUGCAAAACGUAUGCUUUAAAAUGGUAUACGAUUUAUUUUUUAUGGUAUGAUUUAAUUACGGAUAUAAUUGAGAAGGAAACUUUUCGAAUAUAUUGAUUGUCCCAAUUUUAAUACGUAUUUCACAUUUAUUUUUUAUUUUUUAUGUUGAAUUGCAUAAACAUUAGAAUUAUUAUUAAGAAAUCAAUAUGGUAUAAAAUAAAUUAACAAUGUACAUAA